rnacentral:tRNA from 1 species
GGUGAGGUGGCCGAGUGGUCUAAGGCGCUAGCUUAAGGCGCUAGUUCGAAAGAGCGCGAGUUCGAAUCUCGCCCUCAUCA